ACACCUAUUUUGAUUUUCUAUAAGCAGUUUCUUCCCUUUCUUCCACCUUUUUUCUCUACAUCUUUCCUUUGUAUUUUCUUAAAUACCUAAUGGUUAUUUUUAGUUGGUACCUCCUACUCUUCUGUGGGUUUUCAAGUGCCUGUAUGCCUAACCCAUGUUCCUAUCAAAAGCUCGAUGUUAAGACAUGAUCAACAAUUCAUUAAACCAGGAUUUUGUUUAUAUUUGUCAGAUCCCACAUAAGAUUUUCUCUUCACGAUUAAACAAAAAUAAAAAUUUACAGCUUUCACAAUUAAAAAGAAUUUGUCAAUAGGUCAUAGGAAGCUUAAGAGAUGCAAUGAGGGAAAAAGUGCUACCUCACAGAAGUCAAAAUCCCAACAGGUUGAGGAGAACUAGUUUUGCACUGGAAACUCUCCCAUCAUUAGAUUCACCCUUAGAAUUUGGACAAUCUUCAAAGUCACUUAGUACUGUAAAUUUCAGUGUUUUUAAAGCAGUGAAACCCAUUUUUUGGGCACGGAAUUAUGAUAAGUGACAAACUGGAGCUGCUUGGGUUGACUGAGGGUGUGGGAUUUCUAACCUGCCCGUUUUCCUUCCUCUUCCCCUCCCAUCCCCUCAGUGAAGUUCAGGGCCCAUUUUGAAAGCCACUGACCUAAUUUUAAUCAUUGCUGUAGGUGAACAUCACUUUUGGUAACCUUUUUGACAUCCUCACGUGUGCUUCCCUGAUGCCUAAAACUCAGUAAGUAACAUUCUUAUUGCCAUCCUUCAACCUCUUCCCCAAAAUCUCAGCUCAUUAGUUUCAGUUUAGGCUAGUUGGAAGAGUAUCACCGUGCCUUCUGUAACUUCUCAUUUUCCUCUAAGGAAAGCUGAGCUUCUAGUUUUUUGCAGAAAGAGUAUUCUGUUGAAUCCCUUCAAGCCCUGUCUCUCUCUCCACAGAUUAACUCUGCUCUUUUGCUAUCUUUAGCUGCAUUCUGCCUUGGUAGAGAACCGCGACCCUUAAAAGUCUAAGCAAUUUUCAAUUUUGUUGAAAAAAAUUAGCCUGUAUUUGAGCUUCCCCUCAGUACGGAAGCAGUUUCAUCUUGUUCUGCCACCCUCAGCAAGCCAAAGGGCUAAAACCCAAAACUUUUUAGUAAAAAGAAAGUUUCCAAGAAAGAAGAAGAAACUUCACCCCCACCCUGUAAGAGCCGCAGCCUGGGAAGAGGCGGCAUUUAUAGGAUGCAGAGUAAAUCAGCUGGGCGGUCUGAGGGGUGCGGAGAGUGGGGGCGUGGAAAAAAGUGAUUGGGAAAAGGUGCUAGAAUCAUUGUUCUGCGCAGGCGUAACUUGACCACAGGUUUCUGCCUGCGCAACAGGAGAUGCUCAGCACCACCAGAGGGUAGAGUAUUCAGCCUUCUGACGUCAAAAAGUCGCCCAGCUGACACUGAUGCAUGCUCAGUUGGAGUCAGUGGGCCUAUUUGGGCCUAGCUGGCUCAGCUAGGUCUAGACACAGGUGACUCGAGGAUCCUGAAAAACAACUCAGGCUCCCAGGAGACUGGAAGAAGGCCUCCUUCCCAGGAAUGUGGCCAUUCGAAGCUGGGCAGCAAGACACAACGGCUCACGGGAAACAACUGCCUGCAAAGAUUAAGCACCUGUAAAGAUUAACUGCCCCCUGGAUGCCACUUGCUGUUGUUGCACUUCUCUGGUUGUGAGACUCGGACUCCAGCCAUCUUAUUGUUCUGAUUUUUCCCUUCCCCUAUAAUCUUCCCUGCCACAAUCACUAGAUCAUGGGACUCAACCCCACGCCCCUUCCCAAAUUGCAUAACCUUCCUUUCAUUGUCCUUGCCAUGAGUUCCCACCAUAGACCCACGCCAUGGAGUCCCACCAUGAUCCUUUAUAAGACAAAAUUCUCCUCACAGUCAGGGCUGACCCUAUCUUGAGCUCAGCCCAUCUGUUUCUGAUGCCUCAAUAAAUCUCUCUUGCUUUA